UUAAACUCCUGUGGAAAACAGGCGUUUUAAACAUGUUGGAUCUGGAUAUCUGUCUUGGGAAUUGACAAUGAAGUAUUUCCCAGCCUGUUUCACAGCAGGCAAGCACAGUGCCUGAGGACCAGCACUAACCAUCUCUGAUCUCUUCAGCAGAUGUGAAGACAGAAAGCAAGAGAAGAAUUACUCCCUGUUUCGAAUCAUCCCCUAUUUGAUUUAUGUACACAGCUCUGCCUACCCAGAACCAGAUCCUUGCUGUCUAGCACUGGUUGAAAAGAUUCACUCUGGUUAUGAAGAGCAGUGCCUUUGCUGAGUUACCUACCUCAGGAUCUGAUCGGGACAUCAAUCCUAACAUACUUGCACCCAGAAGAUCGUCCUCUGAUGGUUGCCAUACACCAAAAGGGUAAGAUGUGCCCUUCUAUAGGAGCAAUUUGUGUUGCUUCUGAUUUGUUCUAAUUUGUCAGUUCAUUGCUCUCUAAAGCUUAAUCUUUAACCAGAUAAGUAAUGUAUUGAAGUUGCUGAACAAUUUUUCUUAACAUGCUAAAACAUUUAAAAAUAAAUAAUUAAAAAAUCACCGCUUGAAGGUAAGGCUGAGGAAUUACUGCAUGCAGACACUAAUAAAAAUCCAAGAAAUUAUGAACAAAACAUUCAAGAACUCAAACCAAACUUACACAUUUUUGGUGUAAAAGAGGACAUGGUAUGAAAGGCAUAGAAGAUCUGUUUAAUAAAAUAACAGAAAAAUUUCCAGAUCUUGAGACUGAUACAGGCAUCCAGAUACGUGAGGCACUUAGAACUCAAGACAGGCACAACCAGAAAAGAACCUCCCCACAUCGCAUUACAGUUAAAAUGACAAGAGUACAGAACAAGGACAGAAUCUUGAAAGCUACAAGAGAGAAAUGCCUGUUCACUCACAGAGGCAGACCCAUCACAAUAAUUCUAGACCUCUCUGCAAAAACUGUAAAGGUCAGAAGGGUGUGGAAUUUUCAAGCCCUGAGUGAAAUCAUCUGCCAACCUGGAUUACUAUAUCCAGCAAAGCUACACUUCAAAAUUGAAGGAGAAAUAAAGGCUUUCCAAGAUAAGGGUAAACUAAACAAAAAUUCAUGACCACCAAGCCCACUUUGUAGAAGAUACUUAAGUGAAUCCUGCACACAGAAGAGGAAGAGUAGAUAAGCUAUUGAAAAUUAGGAGGGAAUCAAACAUUAGAAAGGUUUUAUAUACCUUUCUGUAAUAGCGCUAAAUGUAAAUGGUCUCAAAUGCUCUAAUUAAAAGACAUACUGUCAGAUUGAAUUGAAUUAAAAACAAGACCCAAUUCUGUCUGAAAAAAAUACCUCAAGCAGAGACGUGCAGACUGAAAGUGAAAGGUAGCCAAGACCAAAAAAAAGCCACCAUAUAUUAGUAAAGGGAACAAUCCCCAAGAAGAUAAAACAAUUAUAGAUACAUAUAUACCAGACAUUUGUGCACCUGAUUUCAGAAAACAAGCAUCGCUUGACAUAAAUGGGUGACUUCAAUAGUCCUCUGUCACCAAUAGAUAGGUAGUCCAAACAAAUCGAUGAAGAAACAACAGAGUUAAGCUACACCAAUCCAGUGGACUGAACAGAUGUCUAUGGAAUACUCCAUCAAGCAACCACAGAAUGUACAUUCUUCUGAGCAGCUCAUGUUUGGAUGCCCUCAAAAAUAGAUCAUAUUCUUAGCCAUAAAGCAAACCUUAACAAAUAUAAAAAAUUGAAAUAAUUUCUUGCAUCUUAUUAGAUCAUAAUGUAAUGUAAAGAAACUAGAAAUCAAUAGCAAGAAUGACCACAGAAACUAUACAAGCACAUGGAGAUUUAAUAAUAAUAUACUUUUCAGAGUAGGUCAUUGAGGAAAUUUUAAAAUUUUGAGAAGAAAAUGGAAACAAAGAAAUCUGGGAUAGAGCAAAGGCAGUUCUAAGAGGAAAUUACAGCUCUAAGUGCCUACCUUAAAAAAUCAGAUGUCAAAUAAUGAAGCAUCUCAAAGUCUUACAAAAACAAGAACAAACCAAAAUCAACUCCAGUGAAAGGAAAAACUUACAGAGAGCUAAAAUGAGUGAGAUAGAGACUAAAAGAACAGUACAUAGGAUCAACAAAGCAAAAAGUUGGUUCUCUGAAAAGAAAACAAGAUUGUCAACCUAUAGCCAAACCAAAAGAAGACCCAAAUCAAUACAAUUAGAAAUGAGAAAAGGGAUGUUACGACAGAUGCUGUUGACACCACUGAAAUCCAGAGGAUCCUAACAAAUUGGAAAGCCUAGAAGAAAUGGAUACAUUUCUGGACACAUGACCUAAUAAAACUGAACCAAGGUGAUUUUUAAAAACCCAAACAUCCAUAGCAGGCAAUGAGUUUGAAGCAGUAAUAAAAAGUCUCCAAUAAAGAAAAGCCCAGGUCCACAUGGAAUCACUGCUGAGUUUUAUCAGACCUUUAAAAAAGAACCUCAGAGCUCCUCAAAGUAUUCCAUGAAAUGGAAAGGAAAGAAACAUGUCCAAACUCAACAUCACCUGGACACCAACAAUGGACAAGGACACAACAAAAAAAACUAUAGACCAGUAUCCAUGAUAACAUAGGUGUAAAAAUCCUUAAUAAAAUACUAGCAAACCGAAUUCAGCAACACAUUAAAAAAUAUCAUACACCAUGGUCAAGUUGGUUUCGUAACAGCGAUGCAAGGAUGACUCGGCAUCACUUUAUGAUUAAAGCCCUGAAGACUCUAGGUGAUCAAUGAAGGACCAUCUUUCAGUAUUUUAGAGGCCAUACAUAACUCACAGCUGCCAUCCUGAAUGGCAAGGAUGUCCUCCCUCAGCAUGUCUAUUCAAUAUAAUUCUUGAAGUGUUAGAUGGAGCAAUCAGGCAGGAGAAAUCAAGUUAUCCUUGUUUGCAGAUGAUAUGGUCCUAUUCUUUGAGGACUCUUAAAACCUUUCCAUAAGACAUUGAGAGCUGAGAGAAAAUUGAACAAACCAGCAGGGAAUAAAAAUCAGUAUUAAAAAUCAACAGCUUUUUCUAUACACCAGUUGGGAAAGAAAUCCAGAAAGCAAUUCUCUUCAAAGUAGCUCUGAGAGGGAGAAGGUAAAGGGGGAGGGAGAGGAAGCUACAACUGGGCAUCAACCUAACCAAGGAGAUGAAAGACCAACCAUGGAAAUUUUAGAAUACUGAAGAAAAAAUUGCAGACAGAAUACGGAAUGACCUCCCUUGUUCAUGGAUUAGCAGAAUUAACAUUGUUAAAAUGGCCACAUUGCCAAAAGUGACCUAUAGGUUCACCUUGAUCCCAUCCACACACCAGUGACAUUCUUCACAGAACUGGAAAAAAAUCUAAAAUGAGUUUCCAAAUACAAAGGAACCAAAACAGUUGAAGUAAUCUUAAGCAAAAA